AUGCAGUCGAGCGGAAGGCCCUUCGGGGUACUCGAGCGGCGAACGGGUGAGUAACACGUGAGUAACCUGCCCCUGACUCUGGGAUAAGCCUGGGAAACCGGGUCUAAUACCGGAUAUGACACUCCUCCGCAUGGUGUGGGUGUGGAAAGUUUUUUCGGUUGGGGAUGGACUCGCGGCCUAUCAGCUUGUUGGUGGGGUGAUGGCCUACCAAGGCGACGACGGGUAGCCGGCCUGAGAGGGCGACCGGCCACACUGGGACUGAGACACGGCCCAGACUCCUACGGGAGGCAGCAGUGGGGAAUAUUGCGCAAUGGGCGAAAGCCUGACGCAGCGACGCCGCGUGGGGGAUGACGGCCUUCGGGUUGUAAACCUCUUUCAGCAGGGACGAAGUUGACGUGUACCUGUAGAAGAAGCGCCGGCUAACUACGUGCCAGCAGCCGCGGUAAUACGUAGGGCGCGAGCGUUGUCCGGAAUUAUUGGGCGUAAAGAGCUCGUAGGUGGCUUGUUGCGUCUGCCGUGAAAGCCCGUGGCUUAACUACGGGUCUGCGGUGGAUACGGGCAGGCUAGAGGCUGGUAGGGGCAAGCGGAAUUCCUGGUGUAGCGGUGAAAUGCGCAGAUAUCAGGAGGAACACCGGUGGCGAAGGCGGCUUGCUGGGCCAGUUCUGACGCUGAGGAGCGAAAGCGUGGGGAGCGAACAGGAUUAGAUACCCUGGUAGUCCACGCUGUAAACGUUGGGCGCUAGGUGUGGGGGUCUUCCUACGAUCUCUGUGCCGUAGCUAACGCAUUAAAGCGCCCCGCCUGGGGAGUACGGCCGCAAGGCUAAAACUCAAAGGAAUUUGACGGGGGCCCGCACAAGCGGCGGAACAUGUUGCUUAAUUUCGAACGCAACGCGAAGAACCUUACCAAGGUUUGACAUACACCGGAAACACUCAGAGAUGGGUGCCUCCUUUGGACUGGUGUACAGGUGGUGCAUGGCUGUCGUCAGCUCGUGUCGUGAGAUGUUGGGUUAAGUCCCGCAACGAGCGCAACCCUUGUUCCAUGUUGCCAGCACGCCCUUUGGGGUGGUGGGGACUCAUGGGAGACUGCCGGGGUCAACUCGGAGGAAGGUGGGGAUGACGUCAAGUCAUCAUGCCCCUUAUGUCUUGGGCUGCAAACAUGCUACAAUGGCCGGUACAGAGGGUUGCGAUACCGUGAGGUGGAGCGAAUCCCUAAAAGCCGGUCUCAGUUCGGAUUGGGGUCUGCAACUCGACCCCAUGAAGUCGGAGUCGCUAGUAAUCGCAGAUCAGCCAC
rnacentral:rRNA from 1 species